GGAGGAGGGGAAGAGCAAGGAAGAGAAGAGAACAAAGAGAGAGCAAGAGAGCAUGAGGAGGGGGCAAGCAGCCCCUUUUAUAGUCAGGCACAGCAAGCUGUUGCCAGACAGCUGUGGGGAGGAGCAUACCUGGCUAUUGCCAGGUAACUGUGGGGGUGGAGCUUAGACAGAAUACCAACAAUACCACCAAAAGCCUGUGAAUUGAGCUUCAGUUGGAACUCACUUUGAGGUCCACAGGCUGAGUUGCACUGGCCUGCACUGCUACCUGAGACCUUCCUUGAUGAUGUCCUGUUCUGUGCAAAUUCCAAGGACCCCUCCCUGUCUGUGGUCCUACUGCAGCUCAGGUCUGUUGAUGUCCAUGGCCCUUGUCACCACUGAAGUCCAUGCAGAUGUCUAUGGUUUGUGCUGCCACUGAGGGUAAUCCUGGGAGUUACUAGCUUGUCCCGGAGAUGCCCCCCAAUUCCAGUUGUCUCUGCCAGUACUCUUUCCCUCCAUCCUCACCCUACCUGAUUCCUCCUGUUUUCAUCCCUGCCCUCCUCCACGUCUGAAAUCUUCUUCCCCUUCCCAGGGAAACCCAUUCCUCAGGCCUUGAGCCCUCCUUGUUGUUAGCCCCUCUUGCUCUGUGGAUUGUAGCAUGAUUAUCCUUUCCUUUACAACUAAUAACCACUUAUAAGUGUCUACCCACCAUGUUUGUCUUUCUGGGAAUAGGUUAUUCACUUAGGAUGAUGUUUUUUCUAGUUCUAUCCAUUUACCUGUAAGUUGUGUGUGUGUGUGUGUGUGUGUGUGUGUGUGUGUAAAUAUAUAUAAAUUUUUUCUAAGACUUAGGAAUGGGGACAGGCUAAGGGUCUGAGGAGAACCACAGGAGGGAGGAAAACAAAGAAUUCCAUGUGACUUUUUGGCUUUCCUCAGGGUCUGUUGUUAUAUUUCCCUUUUCAAUUAUGAUUUUGUUAAUUUUGGAUAUUCUCUCUCCCUCUUGUGAGUUAAUUUGUAUGAGGGUCUGUCAAUCUUAUUGAUUUUCUCAAAGAACCAAUCCUCUGUUUCAUUGAUUUUUUUUUGUUUUGUUUUCUUUGUUUCUAUUUCUUUGAUUUUAGCCCCGAAUUUGACUAUUUCUUGCCAUCUACUUUCGACGUGCUUUCUUUUUGUAUUUGAGCAUUCACAUGCACUGUUAAGUUGCUAGUGGUACAAGAUCUCUCCAGUUUUUCAUUGCAAGCACUUUGUGCUAUGGACGUGCCUCUUGGAGUAAUUUUUAUUGUGUCCUAUAAAUUUGAGUGUGCUGUGUAUUCAUUUUCUUUGAAUUCUAGGUCUUUAAUUUCUCUUUAAAUUUCUGUGCUGACCCAUUUUUCAUUCAGGAGAGAGUUGCUCGGUUUCCAUGAGUUUGUAAACUCACUGCCCUUUCUGUUAUCCAGCUUCAAUCUCCGGUGUUCUGCUAGGAUACAGGGUGUUAUUUCAAUUUUCUUAUUUCUUUGAGACUUGCUUUGUGUGUUCAAGUAUGUGCUCAAUUCUGGAGAAAGUUCCAUGAGGUGUAGAGAAGAAGGAAUAUUGUUCUGUAUUUGGGUGAAAUGUUUGGUAAACCUGGGGGAUUCAGGUAAAAUGUGUUUGUGAGUAUUCGGAUCUCACACUUAGGAAUGGGACAGGCUAAAGGUCUGAGGAGUUUCAUAGGCGGGAGAAAACAAAGAGAUCUCACAGGAUCUGAUUGUUCAGGUUCUUUAUAAUGCGGGCAGAGAGUGAGGAGAGAUCACCCCAGAAUGUCUGCUAUAGGGCCUGUUGGGAUCGUGGGCUGGGAUAAAGCAAUGAUGGGGAGGGGCGUUAGGAGGGGAAGAUCUAUGGGUUCUAUUAGAGCUGGGGUGGGGGAAAGGCUGCUACGGGGGUUCUGCUGCAGAGUUCUACCUGGUUCCCUGGCAGGAAUGAUCAGUGAGUUCUUAAUCACUAAGUUCCCUUUCGUUCUCUGUAUCAUUUCAUUUUGAUUUCUUUUUCUUGAUCAUUUGGUGUGAGAGAUGUGUUCCUCGUUAGUUCCAGAGUGAAACACACAGUGUUAGUUGUACUUCUGUCUUAUACUGUAUCUUAAAUUUCCAGUUAGUUACUGUUGCCCUUGAUUUUAUAGUUUUCUUCCGUUCGUCUGUUGUCUCCCCGCCUCCCUCUGCUCUGGCCUCAGGUUUGUACCCUGCUGCUAUUAAGAGGCACUGAGGUUGUGUUUCAGGCCACCAGGGAUUGGCAGAUACAACAGGGCAAAAGGCUCCAAAUCUCCAUAACCCUUUGUUCUUCCUCAUCAGGUCCUGUGGCCAUGUCUUAGUACAAUAGUCCACCCAGGCAUUACAGAGCAUCACCUAGUCCUAGGAGUCCUCCAUUCCUAGGUAUGUUUUCAAGACAGGUUUCCCAGAAAUCACUCUGCUCCACUGUCCUUCCUCAAUGUCUCUCCCUGGCUGCUACGGUCUAGGACACACCCUUACUCUUUUUAUCAGAAUUUUCUAAGGCCUCUGAUACGGCUUGGUUUUGAUGCCCUGAUUUUCUUCCAGGUGAUCCCCUUUUCGUGUGGAAACUACUUUUUAUUUCUUCUAAACAAUGGUUAGUGAAGGAUUCCUGAAGUCUAUAGUUCUCGCUAUAAAUAAGCACGCCGUUUAGUGACGCUGUGAAUAGGUUGUGCUGAUAUUUCUUCCUUUACAGCAGUGAUGGGCAUUUGCUUGUGGAGUGAAUUUUUGCUUACGUUUCUUGUUGACUUUGAGUUUGUAAAGAGCAGAGAUUACGUCUGGCACAGAAACUUAUUCCAGAGUCAGAGCCUGUGGGAUGAACAAGGACGAUUUCGAGCUUUUCUCCUUAGUUAGCAUGUAUUUUCCCAAGUUCAACCUUUGAUGCUCUGGCCUAUAGACGUAGUUAUCAAUAAAGUAAUAAGCUAUACACUUAGCAGGAUUUUUGUUUUCUGUAGCUUGAAGCACCUGUAACCGAGAUCUUAAACGGUAUUAACAAAAUUAAACCAAGUAGUUUGGCUGUACUUUUGGGUUCCGGAGUCUAAUUGCCUAUACUGAAGAGCUGGAGUCAUAAUUUGAUGGUCUGUAGGUUUCUCAGCUGUUUCGCUCUACAAGAAAAUGCAUAAUGGGCGAUUUUGCACGUGACUGUCUAUAUUUUAUAUGCAACACAUCAGUGUUGUGUAAAUUCUCUGAGCAACUUCUAUUAUCUUUGAAACCACAGAAGCAACAAGCAGUUAUAAUUACAGUCUGACGAAGCUCUAACAUUUCAAACAUGCCUACAGUACUGGUACCACAAUGGGAACGUUCAUCUGCCUGCAGUUGCUCUGAGCCCGGUGACGUCACAAUUACACCGUUUUAACGGAAACGUCUGUCCUUAAACAGAAACAGCUUGCUUGAAAAAGCUAAGAGUUUUUAUUCUUCUGACUUCUUUGAUUCCUCACUGAGGAAAAGUGGUCGGGAUGGUAAAUAUUGCCGCAUAGCCGUGUUCCUGUUACUUCUCGGCUGGUUUCACUAUUGGAGAGUCCCAGGUAUUCGCCUUCACUCCACAUGGGGAACGAACGCGGCGUUAUUUAAAACUCCUUUUGUGCAUCUGCUCCUUGUCAACUCAUGAUCGUCUGAUCCUUGAAGAUUUGACAACCCUGUGAUUUGCUGUAAUGGAAUUACUGAGAAGUUAUCAACAGAGACGUUGCACUGGAAGCAUGCAUCCUUAGAUGUUUAGAAGGAAACGAACUUCAAAAGGGAGUGGUAGCCACAAAGAAAUACCUGAAUCAUACUCCUUGCCCUCCUUCAGUGGAGUGGCUCUGUGUCUUUAAUUUUGUUGACUGAGAGAAAGGAUGUUUAUACUGACUUCCUGUGUCCUGAGCUUGGACUCAUUUUUUUCUUUUCUUUUUUGCUAAGUUUAUAUAUCAGCACCGCGUAGGCAAUGAGCACACCUCAUGGGCUGGGUGUGUCGAUUUAAAGAACUUGCUCUGUGGGAUUCAAAGGCCUUCCUUAUCCUGGGGCUCUGUCACUGAGCAUGAAAGAAACAUUGAAUCCACUUGUGAAGUUUUCUGAGUUGCUAUUAUUUUUCUCUUUUUAGUUAUUCUGCUCUCACACAAUACAUUCCUCCUUCCACUUCUCCCAGUAGCCCCUCCCCCUCUCUCUUCCAGAUCCACUGCUCCUUUAUUUCCCUUCAGAAAAGACCAGGAAUAUCAACUGAACGAUAUGACAGGAGUCUAGCAUGGCUGUCUUCUGAGAGAUUCCACCCACCAACUGACUCAGAGGGAUGCAGACACCCACAAUGAAACAGUGGAUGGAGCUUGGGAACUCUUAUGGAAGAACUGGAGGAAGAAAUGCAGGCCUUGAAGGGGAUAGGCACUCCACAGGAAGACCAACAGUCAACUAACCUGGACCACUGGGACUUUCAGAGACUGAACCAUCAACCAAAGAACAUACACAGGCUGGACCUAGGCUUCCCUGAACAUGUGUAACAGAUAUGCAGCUUGGUCUUCAUGUGGGACCUGAACAACUGGAGCAGGGGUUAACCCAAAAGCUGCUGUCUAUAGUUGAGAUAUGUUCUAGCUGGGCUGCCUUGUCUACCCUCAGUAGGAGAUGAUAUACCAAAGGUGGAAGGAUACCAAGAGAGGACCCUGCCUGCUCAGAGGAGAAGGGGAGGGAAGGAUUGUGGGGGGUGACUGCAGGGGACAGUGAGCUGGAUGUAAAGUAAAUGAUUAAAAAGUAAAUAAAAUAAAGUAAAAUGAAAGACGAAAAGAAA